UACGGAGGGUACGAGCGUUGUUCGGAAUCACUGGGCGUAAAGCGCGUGUAGGCGGCCUGCGAAGUCUGAUGUGAAAGCCCGAGGCUCACCCUCGGAAGUGCAUUGGAAACUGGCAGACUGGAGUCCCGGAGAGGAGGGUGGAAUUCCUGGUGUAGCGGUGAAAUGCGUAGAUAUCAGGAGGAACACCGGUGGCGAAGGCGGCCCUCUGGACGGUGACUGACGCUGAGACGCGAAAGCGUGGGGAGCAAACAGG
rnacentral:rRNA from 1 species